GGAAGUAAAAGUCGUACAAGGUUUCCGUAGGUGAACCUGCGGAAGGAUCAUUAAUGAGUUGUCAUGGGGUUCGAUGCUGGCAGCCAGUUUUUGGAUGCAUGUGCUUGCCCUAACAAUCAUCUUCUUCCAAACACCUGUGCACAUUUUUGAGGGAGUCUUGAGUUGGUUGCCGCUCUUGGGUGAUUUUCUCACAUUCCCUUAAAUCAUUAUACGCUAUUAACAAUGUUGAACGUGCUCUGUGCCGCAAGGCUAUUAAUAUAAUACAACUUUUAACAACGGAUCUCUUGGCUCUC
rnacentral:misc_RNA from 1 species